GUGUUGCUCCACAUCAGACAUCCAGAGAGGGGCCUUUUGUGUCUGACUUUGCCCGAAGGCAGUUGUCUUGCAAUGCAGAUUAAUAAUUACAGAGUACACAACAUCGGGGAAAACAAUUUGAAGAUCUUUGAUGUCAAACAUGAGAGAAACCAAAAUUACAAAGAAAAAAAAGUUGACGAGGAAAGGUCUUGAAAGAUGGUCUUUCUUUCUGCCUCCCGCUCGCUGCAGUAUUUCCUGUUAUUGUUGCUUUCUACUGUUUCACAGUGCGAACAUUAAGGAAGACUUAAAAGAGAGGCGUCCGUGGCAACUGAAGAUGAGAAGCUGCUAUAUAUAAUAUUUCACAGGACUUGAUCCAUCUGUUUACAUGUCGGGGCACAUCAAUAAACUCAUGAGAUGUUUGCAAGCAUUAGGAUGAAUAGAAACCAGGGCCAAAUAUAGGAGGAAAGAGCUCCCUGAGUCAUGACGAUGUGGGCCUGAGUUAUGAUUAUGGGCUGUAAUUGAAAGGUUGAGGGUGCGCUUUCCUUUGCUUCACUGUGAAACUCCCUUUAACUUAAAAAGCCAUGAAUCACUGGAAUGUGAAUUAACAGGCUCUCCUGUUUUGUAGUUUACCAAACCAAAACUCUUUUUGUCUUGCACAAUACCAAAUGAUUGGCCUUGGGCGGCCUUCAAAACACAGAUGAUUGCUACCCCCUUUAAUAACCGCAUUUAAUGAAUAUCAACAAAUCCCAAACAAAGCGACCACAGCCGCAACUUAAAAUUAAAUCAAAAUAUGUUUCCUGUGAGAUUCUGACAAAAGCCACUUUUUAGCUUGUGUUUAUUUGGGAUGUGCUUCUUCUGUGUCUUGGCCCUCCUUGUGUAGGUGAGUCUUGUUUAGAGGUUGUUAACACCAAUUUCUUACUUGUUCUGUUUAAAACACACCCGACCAACAACAGGAAACAUCUCUCUACAUUACACCAUCACUACACUACGUUACCUGUGAGUGACGGACAGUGUUGGGAACUGUGUGUUAACGUUGUGACGUAAUUACAGUUUGAACAGGAACGUUAUAGAUUCUUCAGGUGGGACGGAGUUAAAGCAGGACCGUAUUGUUGAACAGAAUCAGCGUACUACAAAUAAUAACCCAAACUACACAUAAACUGAAUUCUGACUGGAUUGAGCGCUGGUGUUAUUUUCACGCCACAUGUUGACAUUGCAGAGCCGUAUCAUUUUGAUUUAAUAAAUGGCUCAAUUACGGCUCAAUUACUCGUUGAGUUUGGAAAUGUCAUGCAUUCACAACAUUAUGAAAGAAUUUCCUUGCUGGGGAAGCCGUAAAGCUCUCGGCAGGAUCCGAAGGCCACCUUCAGCCUUCAGCCCGGGCCUUUAACAGUUGCCCUCAGAACAGGCAGAAAACCUCCCGGCCCGUCAGAGGACUUUCGGGGCUCCAGUAGUCAGAUAAUACUUUACGCUUUUUUACGAUUUUUACGGUUUUUCCAUACAAAUGAAGAGGCACAAUAGCUUCAUAUCGUUUCUUCCAGGUGCACUGAUAAAUGAAAUGUCACAGUUUCUGAGACAUGUUUUUCAAGGGGGUCGUGUUCCCGAAACCAAAUCACGUCCACAGAGUUUGAGAAAGAAUUCAGUGUUGGCAUUACGAGUGUCAAACCUGCCGUGUUCACAGCUUCUCCACUGCAGACAUUCUGGAUGCACUGAAGGGAAUUUGACAGCAGGAGCUGAGGCGUCGAAGCUAAAACGACACCGAGGAAAAGCCAUAUUCUUCUUGAAGCGUGACAGCGAGUUCCGUGUUCGAGGGAUGUUGGCGGAUCAUCGCAGAUGUCCCGUGUUUGCUGAAAACACAUCAUCCAUCUGGGGGGGUUGUGGCGGUUCUGAUGUGUCUUCUGCUUUUUACCAUAGCGGUCAUUUUUUAUUAUUUUAAAACAACUGAGAAUAUAUCACAUAUAUUUCAGCCACUAUUUUAGUUGGCUGUCAAUCACACUCGUUGAGUCCACAUUAUACUUCACUAGUUUACCAAUGUGAGAAAUAUGCAGCUGAACUACAAUCACAGAUUUAAAAUAGAACAGAGGAAAAGAAGUGUUAAGGAUGGACCAGUUUGGGCCACUGACACCUCGUAAACAGGACUCUGCUGCAAACGUUCGUGAAGGUGCUGGAUCAUAGUUGUCAUGGUUUAAGUGUAACCUCGACAGUUAUAUUUUGCGUUUUCCCUGUUGAUAUUAUUAUUAUUGGGUUAUUCCAAGAGGUGAGGUUUUGUAAAAAUGCUUUUUUUUCUCCUUUUCCUGUACCAGGAGUUUAAAUAGGCUGUUACCCUUGGUGUUAAAUAUAACUCUUUCUGUGGGUGUUUCGCAUUAAAGUCAUUCUGUGGUUUACAGAUGGAAACAGCUGCAGGAAGUGUUCAAACGGAUAGAACCAAAUUUAACACAGUAAAAACAUAAUUACUGUUCUGAUAGCGAGGCUAAGAUCCAUGAACUUAGGCUGUUGUCUUUUGAGAGGAAAGCAUUGUAAAUUGUGAACACAUACACAUAGAACUUUCUUCAAGUUGAUCUUAUCUUCAGAACGGUACCUUGUCUUUCUCAGUUGUCUAAAUUGUGAGCCAAUCAGUUUAUGCUGUUGGCAAAGACGGAGUGGUUGUUUCCGUUCAAUCAGGUUUCGACCUCAGCAAACACCUGCUUCAUUUGGUGUUUACCUCACUUGAUUUUCAUCUGCACUGCUCCAACUGACUAAACUACCAAAAUAAAAGCCCACAUGAAUUCCUCCUGACAUGGUUGAUGGGAUGCCAGCCCUAUUCGCAGGGUGGACGUUAACGGCAUCUGUGUUGAAGUAAAGUUUACAGGCAGAGUGGGCAGCUGUUCUCUCAGCAGGUAGAAGGCGCGGUGAAACCACAUGGAGCAGGUGUGUGUGUGUGUGUGUGUGUGUGUGUGUGUGUGCGCUUUGGCCGGUUAGGGAGCUGACACGCCACAGCAGGUGAGGAAGAAGACGAUCCAGG
ensembl:lncRNA